GGCCCGAUGGUCUAGUCGUAUGAUUCCUCGUUUGGGUGCCCAUAUUAUCGUCAAAUCACGAGGAGGUCCCGGGUUCAAUUCCCGGUCAGGCCC